rnacentral:rRNA from 1 species
AGACAGCAGUCGCCGCGGUAAUACGGAGGGUGCAAGCGUUAAUCGGAAUUACUGGGCGUAAAGCGCACGCAGGCGGUCUGUCAAGUCGGAUGUGAAAUCCCCGGGCUCAACCUGGGAACUGCAUUCGAAACUGGCAGGCUAGAGUCUUGUAGAGGGGGGUAGAAUUCCAGGUGUAGCGGUGAAAUGCGUAGAGAUCUGGAGGAAUACCGGUGGCGAAGGCGGCCCCCUGGACAAAGACUGACGCUCAGGUGCGAAAGCGUGGGGAGCAAACAGGAUUAGAUACCCGCGUAGUCCCUGUCUCUUAUAC